UACAGGGGGGGCAAGCGUUGUUCGGAAUUACUGGGCGUAAAGGGUUCGUAGGUGGCCACUUAAGUCAGACGUGAAAUCCCUCAGCUUAACUGGGGAACUGCGUGUGAUACUGGAUGGCUUGGAUUUGGGAGAGGGAUGCGGAAUUCCAGGUGUAGCGGUGAAAUGCGUAGAUAUCUGGAGGAACACCGGUGGCGAAGGCGGCAUCCUGGACCAAUAUUGACGCUGAGGAGCGAAAGCCAGGGGAGCAAACGGG
rnacentral:rRNA from 1 species